rnacentral:rRNA from 1 species
ACGUACACUCCUGCGGGAGGCAGCAGUGGGGAAUUUUGGACAAUGGGCGAAAGCCUGAUCCAGCCAUGCCGCGUGCAGGAUGAAGGCCUUCGGGUUGUAAACUGCUUUUGUACGGAACGAAACGGCCUUUUCUAAUAAAGAGGGCUAAUGACGGUACCGUAAGAAUAAGCACCGGCUAACUACGUGCCAGCAGCCGCGGUAAUACGUAGGGUGCAAGCGUUAAUCGGAAUUACUGGGCGUAAAGCGUGCGCAGGCGGUUAUGUAAGACAGUUGUGAAAUCCCCGGGCUCAACCUGGGAACUGCAUCUGUGACUGCAUAGCUAGAGUACGGUAGAGGGGGAUGGAAUUCCGCGUGUAGCAGUGAAAUGCGUAGAUAUGCGGAGGAACACCGAUGGCGAAGCCAAUCCCCUGGACCUGUACUGACGCUCAUGCACGAAAGCGUGGGGAGCAAACAGGAUUAGAUACCCUUGUAGUCCCAUGAU